rnacentral:lncRNA from 1 species
AAUCCCCCGAAAGUUGAGAAUAUUUUCCUAAAAUUAAAACAAAAAACGGUACAAGUAAUGAUUACCAACUUUAGCUUUUGAAUAAUAUUGAAAGAAGGUGCCUUUUAGUGUCUGUCAUAUCCAAGCAUGUAUGUCAGCAUAAUGCAUGAUGCAUAAUGCAUAAUGCAUAAUACAUGCAGUAUAGAUAUAUAGAUAUAAAGUUGUUAUGUAUAUUUGAGACUUUUUCUAAGGCGCAUGGCAAGCAACAAAAGUAUGAAGGAAUGAAAGAGAAGAAGAAUACACACAACACAACAAGUAGUGAUUGAAUGGUGUUGGCAAGUUGGGAAACAAAAUGGGACCCUUAUGCACCACUCCAUUGUUGAAGGGUCGUUAUCAAUGCUUAACUUUUGCUUCGUCAAAGUCAAAUUAUCUCCAACAUCCCUCAUCAUUCUCAAAGAGCCACACACAAGGAUAAAGAUAAUUUUUUUGGUCCCUAUGUUCUCUUCACUAUGUUGUGAAAAGAAAGACGUGAGUGGCACGCAGUUAAAGUAUUUUUGUCUUCAAAUGCGUAUAUGAUCUGUCUCUUAUCUAAGUCUUUUGAUUCCUUCUAUUGAAAUUCAAAUCUCCUCAUUGCAUGCUAGAUACUAUCAUUGCUUUUUCUAGAUGCACACGUGCUAUCAUAUAUAUACAUUCAUUCAUACUCCAUCUAUAUACAUAUAUUUCUUUCUUUAAAUUCUUCAUCGGUGCAUCCAAGCAAUUAAU